rnacentral:lncRNA from 1 species
GCGGCGCGAAUUUCAGUGGGACCGGAAGUGCGGCUGGGUUUAGGUUCGGGGUCUGACAGGAGCAACUCGCGCUCCGCGGCUGGAGCUGGCUGCGAGAGCAGGGUCCCGCGUCGCCCUCCCGCCAUGGGCCUCCUGUCGGACCCCGUGCGCCGGCGCGCGCUCGCCCGUCUCGUGCUGCGCCUCAACGCGCCGCUCUGGUGAGGGUGGGCUGGGCUGGGGUCCCUGCGCUGCUCGCGCCCUUCUCCUUCGGUCCACGUCCCGCGGGGGAUGCGGGGACCCGGAGUCUAGGUUUCCAGGCCCCUCACACCUGCCCGUUCGGCCCCUGGUUUGGAGCUGGUGGCCACAGUCGGCGUCCCAGAUCACGCUAACGCUCCGGCUGCUCCCUCUGACCCCUCGCAGCGUGCUGAGCUACGUGGCGGGCAUCGCCUGGUUCUUGGCUCUGGCCUUCCCGCCGUUGACCCAGCGUACUUACAUGUCGGAGAACGCCAUGGGAUCCACCAUGGUGGAGGAGCAGUUUGUGGGCGGAGACCGUGCCCGGGGCUUUGCCCGCGAUUUCGCUGCCCACCGCAGGAAGUCGGGGUGAGCCGCAGAGCAGCGGGUAGGGGAAAAGUAGUGGUGGCCAAGGCCAGGGAGCUCCGUUCAGAGGCUGUCUUUGUGUCUCCAGGGCUCUACCAGUGGCCUGGCUGCAGCGGACGAUGCGUACAGUAGGGCUGGAGGUCUACACGCAGAGUUUCUCUCGGAAACUGCCCUUCCCGGAUGAGACCCACGAGCGCUAUGUAUUGAGGAAGGGUGGGGGUGAGGGUGCUUGGGAUAGAAAAGCGCUGUGAAGGGGUCACCUGGGGCCAAGAAUCCUAAUGGGAGGGAUGAUCUGGGGCCAGGGAAAUCCCUGCUUUGCAGAUUGUAGGGCCAAGGAAAGGUGGUGGUGGAGGCUUUGACUUUCUACAUACUAGGGUUGCUCUGAGGCUCCUUCACCAAUGCAUUGUACAGAUGGUAUCAGGCACCAACGUGUAUGGCAUCCUACGGGCCCCACGUGCUGCCAGCACCGAGUCUCUGGUGCUCACUGUACCCUGUAACUCUGACUCCACCAAUAGCCAGGCUGUUGGACUGCUGCUGGCACUUGCUGCCCAUUUCCGAGGUGAGACUCCAGGGCUGCUGCCCAGGGAGGGUUUGGCCAGUGCUUCAGUCCUGCUUACCUUAUGUCUGACCUCCAGGGCAGAUUUACUGGGCCAAAGAUAUCAUCUUUCUGGUGACAGAACAUGAUCUUCUGGGCACUGAGGCUUGGCUUGAAGCCUACCACGACGUUAAUGUAACUGGUAGGUGCUCUUGUCUUCUCCUGGUCUCUCUCGGGGUCAAUUGUUCUCACCAGUGUC